AUUGAACGCUGGCGGCAGGCCUAACACAUGCAAGUCGAACGAGUGGCGGACGGGUGGGUAAUGUCUGGGAAACUGCCUGAUGGAGGGAGAUAACGGCUGGAACAGGUAGCUAAUACUGCAUACAAUCGGAUGUGCCAAGACUGGAUUAGCUAGUAGGUGUGGUAAAGGCACAACGAGGCGACGAACCCUAGCUGGACGGAGAGGAAGACCAGCCAAACAGGAACUGCGACACGGUCCAGACUCCUACGGGAGUGAGCAGUGGGGAAUAUUGAACAAUGGGCGCAAGCCUGAUGAAGCAAUGCCGCGUGUAUGAAGAAGGCCUUCGGGUUGUAAAGUACUUUCAGCGGAGAGGCGUUAGCCAAAGAAGAAGCACCGGCUAACUCCGUGCCAGCAGCCGCGGUAAUUC
rnacentral:rRNA from 1 species